rnacentral:rRNA from 1 species
GAUGAACGCUGGCGGCGUGCCUAAUACAUGCAAGUCGAGCGAACAGAUAAGGAGCUUGCUCCUUUGACGUUAGCGGCGGACGGGUGAGUAACACGUGGGUAACCUACCUAUAAGACUGGAAUAACUCCGGGAAACCGGGGCUAAUGCCGGAUAACAUGUUGAACCGCAUGGUUCUACAGUGAAAGGCGGCUUUGCUGUCACUUAUAGAUGGACCCGCGCCGUAUUAGCUAGUUGGUGAGGUAACGGCUCACCAAGGCAACGAUGCGUAGCCGACCUGAGAGGGUGAUCGGCCACACUGGAACUGAGACACGGUCCAGACUCCUACGGGAGGCAGCAGUAGGGAAUCUUCCGCAAUGGGCGAAAGCCUGACGGAGCAACGCCGCGUGAGUGAUGAAGGUCUUCGGAUCGUAAAACUCUGUUAUUAGGGAAGAACAAAUGCGUAAGUAACUGUGCGCGUCUUGACGGUACCUAAUCAGAAAGCCACGGCUAACUACGUG